GGAGGAUCCAAGCGUUAUCCGGAAUCAUUGGGUUUAAAGGGUCCGUAGGCGGUCUUAUAAGUCAGUGGUGAAAGCCCAUCGCUCAACGAUGGAACUGCCAUUGAUACUGUAAGACUUGAAUUUUUGUGAAGUAACUAGAAUAUGUAGUGUAGCGGUGAAAUGCUUAGAUAUUACAUGGAAUACCAAUUGCGAAGGCAGGUUACUAACAAACGAUUGACGCUGAUGGACGAAAGCGUGGGGAGCGAAC
rnacentral:rRNA from 1 species